CUGUGAAUGUUCUUGCACUUACCAAUAAAUAACCAAACACGAAUCAACUGAUAUAGUUUCAACCUGAUCAGUGAGCCAGACCACCGGUGAAAAUGUCUGUGAAGAUCCUCUCCAUCACUCUCCUCCUGCACUCAAUGUGUGUGUGCUUCAGCUACUCUGCAGGUCCACCUGGUCCUGGAAGUAAACGCCCGUGCUGCGUUGAUGUCACUGACAUCGAUAUGAGCCCUGAGGUGGUGGGGGAAACAUAUCGUGAGCAGGCUGCAAGCGGACGCUGUGUGAAGGCUAUAAUGUAAGUCAGCACACGUUGUCCUACAUACAAACAUAUACAAUCUCUAUAAUUUUCUGUCUUUUAUUUCCAGUUUCAAACAGAAUAGGACAACUUUGUGCUGAUCCGAAAGCUCAGUGGGUCAAAGAUCUCACUGCCAAAAUGAGGAAGGAGUGAAGUCUGUCUGCUACAUCAGUAUUUUCAGCAUUUCCAUCACCUUUAAAGGCUUAUUCAAACCAGAGCGCUUUCUCAGCCUGACUGUUUCAAAACAUUUUUUUUUGUAGAUUAAUUUUUACUGUGGAGUAAACCUGUAUUUUAUUCACGCUGUUGACUUCAUUGUUUUUUAAUAGAUAAUUGGGGUUCAGGUUGCUUUGUUUUUUUUUUUUUUUUUUUUUUGCUUAU